UACGUAGGGUGCAAGCGUUGUUCGGAUUUACUGGGCGUAAAGCGCGUGUAGGCGGCUUUGCAAGUCGGAUGUGAAAGCCCACGGCUCAACCGUGGAAGUGCAUCCGAAACUGCAUGGCUGGAGUCUCGGAGAGGAAGGUGGAAUGCUUGGUGUAGAGGUGAAAUUCGUAGAUAUCAAGCAGAACACCUGCGGCGAAGGCGGCCUUCUGGACGAUGACUGACGCUGAGACGCGAAAGCGUGGGGAGCAAACAGG
rnacentral:rRNA from 1 species